GACGAACGCUGGCGGCGUGCUUAACACAUGCAAGUCGAACGGAAAGGCCCUGCUUGCAGAGUACUCGAGUGGCGAACGGGUGAGUAACACGUGGGUGAUCUGCCCUGCACUUCGGGAUAAGCUUGGGAAACUGGGUCUAAUACCGGAUAGGAACCAUCUUUAGUGUGGUGGUUGGAAAGUUUUUUCGGUGUAGGAUGAGCUCGCGGCCUAUCAGCUUGUUGGUGGGGUAAUGGCCUACCAAGGCGGCGACGGGUAGCCGGCCUGAGAGGGUGUACGGCCACAUUGGGACUGAGAUACGGCCCAGACUCCUACGGGAGGCAGCAGUGGGGAAUAUUGCACAAUGGGCGCAAGCCUGAUGCAGCGACGCCGCGUGGGGGAUGAAGGCCUUCGGGUUGUAAACUCCUUUCGCUAGGGACGAAGCUUUGUUGUGACGGUACCUAGAUAAGAAGCACCGGCUAACUACGUG
rnacentral:rRNA from 1 species